rnacentral:rRNA from 1 species
CCCCUAGACGUUCUGGGCUGCACGCGCGCUACAAUAAUACGCCCAGCGAGUAUCACCGAGCUCGAAAGGGCAAGGUAAACAAUAGAAAAGGUACUGUAAUGGUUAUAGAUCCUUGUAAUUAUUGAUCUUCAACGAGGAAUUCCUAGUAAGUAUGUGUCAUCAUCACGCACUGAUUACGUCCCUGCCCUUUGUACACACCGCCCGUCGCUCCUACCGAUUGGGUGUGCUGGUGAAAUGUUCGGAUCGGCCGUUUGUCGCGGUUUCCGCGUCAUGUGGCUGAGAAGUUCAUUAAACCCUCCCACCUAGAGGAAGGAGAAGUCGUAACA